CUUCCCUACGGGGGGCAGCAGUGGGGAAUAUUGCACGAUGGGGGAAACCCUGAUGCAGCGACGCCGCGUGAGUGAAGAAGUAUUUCGGUAUGUAAAGCUCUAUCAGCAGGGAAGAUAAUGACGGUACCUGACUAAGAAGCCCCGGCUAACUACGUGCCAGCAGCCGCGGUAAUACGUAGGGGGCAAGCGUUAUCCGGAUUUACUGGGUGUAAAGGGUGCGUAGGUGGCAGGGCAAGUCAGAUGUGAAAGCCCGGGGCUCAACCCCGGUACUGCAUUUGAAACUGUAGUUCUUGAGUGUUGGAGAG
rnacentral:rRNA from 1 species